rnacentral:rRNA from 1 species
UACGUAGGGUGCGAGCGUUAAUCGGAAUUACUGGGCGUAAAGCGUGCGUAGACGGUAGCGUAAGUCGGGUGUGAAAGCCCAGGGCUCAACCUGGGAAUUGCAUUCGAGACUGCUCUGCUAGGGUGCGGAAGAGGGAAGCGGAAUUUCCGGUGUAGCGGUGAAAUGCGUAGAUAUCGGAAGGAACACCAGUGGCGAAAGCGGCUUCCUGGUCCAGCACCGACGUUCAGGCACGAAAGCGUGGGGAGCAAACAGG